UACGUAGGCAGCAAGCGUUGUUCGGAGUUACUGGGCGUAAAGGGUGUGUAGGCGGUUCUUUAAGUUUGGUGUGAAAUCUCCCGGCUCAACUGGGGAACUGCGCGGGAAACUGUCGGACUUGAGUUCGGGAGAGGGAAGCGGAAUUCCGGGUGUAGCGGUGAAAUGCGUAGAUAUCCGGAGGAACACCGGUGGCGAAGGCGGCUUCCUGGACCGACACUGACGCUGAGGCGCGAAAGCUAGGGGAGCAAACGGG
rnacentral:rRNA from 1 species